AGAGAUGUGUGAUGACGCAUAUCAAUAAGCGGAGGAAAAGAAACUAACAAGGAUUCCCUUAGUAACGGCGAGUGAAGCGGGAAGAGCUCAAAUUUGAAAUCUUCAAGGUUCUACCUUGACGAAUUGUAGUUUAUAGAAGUGUUUUCUGUUAGUGGAGUGGCAAAAGUUCUUUGGAAUAGGACAUCAUAGAGGGUGAGAAUCCCGUAUUUGGUCAUUCCUCCUAGCGUUGUGAUACACUUUCAACGAGUCGGAUUGUUUGGGAAUGCAGUCCAAAAUGGGUGGUAAAUUUCAUCUAAAGCUAAAUAUUGGCGAGAGACCGAUAGCGAACAAGUACCGUGAGGGAAAGAUGAAAAGAACUUUGAAAAGAGAGUUAAACAGUACGUGAAAUUGUCAAAAGGGAAGCGUUUGACACCAGUGUUGUUUUUCCGAAAAUCAAUUACGAAUGUUUUAUUUUUGAGGAGUUAUGACUUCAUCGGCUUGCUCCUUUCUUUAUGAAACUUUCUUAAUGCACUUUUCGGUUAACAAGUCAACAUCAAUUUCUUUUGUUGUAAAAGGGUAUGAGGAAGGUGGCUUUCUUUUCGGAGAAAGUGUUUAUAGCCUUUGGCUUCUGCAAUCGGAGAGAUUGAGGUCUGCAGCGUAGAUCCUUCGGGGUUAGAUGCAUUUGUGCUAAGCUAUAGCCUUGUAUAGACAACUUGUUGACUAUGCUCAGUCAUGUAGCUUACUCGCUUAUGCUAUUUUACCUACGCUUAGGAUGUUGACGCAUGAGAUAUACGC
rnacentral:rRNA from 1 species